UACGUAGGGUGCGAGCGUUGUCCGGAAUUAUUGGGCGUAAAGAGCUCGUAGGCGGUGUGUCGCGUCGGCCGUGAAAACCUGGGGCUCAACUCUGGGCGUGCGGUCGAUACGGGAAUCACUGGAGUUCGGCAGGGGAGACUGGAAUUCCUGGUGUAGAGGUGAAAUGCGCAGAUAUCAGGAGGAACACCGGUGGCGAAGGCGGGUCUCUGGGCCGAUACUGACGCUGAGGAGCGAAAGCAUGGGUAGCGAACAGG
rnacentral:rRNA from 1 species